GAUGAAGAACGUAUCGAAAUGCGAUAAGUAAUGUGAAUUGCAGAAUUCAGUGAAUCAUCGAAUCUUUGAACGCACAUUGCGCCCCUUGGUAUUCCGAGGGGCAUGCCUAUUCGAGCGUCAUUAUCACCCCUCAAGCCUAGCUUGGUGUUGAGGCCUGCUGUCAAGGCAGCCUCUAAAAUCAGUGGCAGUGCUGUCAGGCUCUAAGCGUAGUAAAUCUAAUCGCUAUAGACACCUGGUGGACACUCGCCAGAACCCCCCCAUUUUUUAAUGAUUGACCUCGGAUUAGGUAGGGAUACCCGCUGAACUUAAGCAUAUCAAUAAGCGGAGGA
rnacentral:misc_RNA from 1 species